AGGAUUAGAUACCCGGGUAGUCCCAGCCCUAAACGAUGCGGGCUAGGUGUUGGAGGUGUCGACCCCUCCAGUGCUGCUAAGCUAACGCAUUAAGCACCCCGCCUGGGGAGUACGGCCGCAAGGCUAAAACUCAAAGGAAUUGACGGGGCCCCGCACAAGCAGCGGAGCACGUGGUUUAAUUCGAUGCAACGCGAAGAACCUUACCAGGGCUUGACAUGGUCGGGAAAACCGUAGAAAUACGGUCCUCCUUCGGGACUCGAUCACAGGUGGUGCAUGGCUGUCGUCAGCUCGUGUCGUGAGAUGUUGGGUUAAGUCCCGCAACGAGCGCAACCCCUGUCCCAUGUUGCCAGCGAGUCAUGUCGGGGACUCAUGGGAGACUGCCGGUGACAAAUCGGAGGAAGGUGGGGAUGAUGUCAAGUCAUCAUGCCCCUUAUGUCCUGGGCUACACACGUGCUACAUUGGCCGGUACAGAGGGCUGCAAACCCGCGAGGGUGAGCGAAUCCCAAAAAGCCGGUCCCGGUUCGGAUUGAAGGCUGAAACUCGCCUUCAUGAAGGCGGAGUUGCUAGUAAUCGCGGAUCAGCAACGUCGCGGUGAAUACGUUCUCGGGGCUUGUACACACCGCCCGUCACACCACGAAAGUCGGCAAUACCCGAAGCCGGUGAGCUAACCCCUCGGGGAGGCAGCCGUCGAAGGUAGGGUUGAUGAUUGGGGUGAAGUCGUAACAAG
rnacentral:rRNA from 1 species